rnacentral:rRNA from 1 species
AUUGAACGCUGGCGGCAGGCCUAACACAUGCAAGUCGCACGGCAGCACAGAAGAGCUUGCUCUCUGGGUGGCGAGUGGCGGACGGGUGAGUAAUGUCUGGGAAACUGCCCGAUGGAGGGGGAUAACUACUGGAAACGGCAGCUAAUACCGCAUAACGUCGCAAGACCAAAGUGGGGGACCUUCCGGCCUCACAACAACGGCUGUGCCCAGAUGGGAUUAGCGAGGAGGUGGGGUAAUCGCUCACCUAGUCGACGAUCACUAGCUGGUCUGAGGGGAUGACAAGCCACACUGGGACUGAGACACGGUCCAGACUCCUACGGGAGGCAGCAGUGGGGAAUAUUGCACAAUGGGCGAAAGCCUGAUGCAGCCAUGCCGCGUGUAUGAAGAAGGCCUUCGGGUUGUAAAGUACUUUCAGCGGGGAGGAAGGCGGUGAGGUUAAUAACCUUGCCGAUUGACGUUACCCGCAGAAGAAGCACCGGCUAACUCCGUGCCAGCCGCCGCCGUAACAC